UAAUAAAUGAUUUUGAAUAUUUAUCCUAUACAGUGUUCAUGAAAAUAUAGUAUGAAGUGCGCGAAAUUUAAAAAAUGUUAUUUAAUCACUUUUUUUUAUACUGUAAAAGAGUCUUAUACUUGAAGAGUUUCGAUCUGAAAGAUAAUCAUACAAGGUUAAGAGGUGAUCCUAUGUGCAGAAAUAAAUCGAAAAUAUUGAAAAAUUGGGUCAAUAAGGACAUUCAAAGUUUACAACGUCUCUAAUUUUCGACAUAGUCGCGUGAUGUCGCCCGGUUUGCUGCAUCGACGAAACUUGGGGAAGUUUCUAAGUCCCGCGUUACGGGUCUAUAAGUGCACUCAUCGUUAUAUUAAUUGUUUGCAGGGCUCCUGCAUUGGGGUCAACUCUUCUUGGUUCGAAUGAUUUAUUCCUCCGCUCUACAUAUGAAAAAAUCAGAAAUAUUCGCGGUUUGAGGCGUCGGAUAACAAUUGAAAUUGAAACAAUCGCCGUUUCGUUAUCAUAAACGACUCAAAGGGAAUUCGUGGAUGAUCGAUAAAAAUGUUUCUUAGUACAUUCGAUACGCAAGUCAAAACGUUGAUCCUGUUCAAAACGAAUAUUUAAUACGAAUUCAGUUGGUAAGCAUUCCGAGACCAGUGACGAAGAGAAUAGUGUUGUUACAAAUGUAAAUAGAAAGAAGAAUAGAUUCAAAGCUUUUGCAGAGAGAGGGAAGGGAAACGAAUUAACCGCGCGUGUGUGUGUGACUACAGAAGUAAAACUUGGAAAGGAAUUUUUUUUAUCUCGAUAGACACGAGGAAACGAGAAAGAGAGAGAGAUAGAAGGAAAAUAAAAAAAGAUGGAAACGAAAUAUGUCAGAGCUUGAAAUGCUGCAUGACGAAAAUUCGUUCGUCGUAACGAGCGUCCUGCGUUGAUUUGAUUUUUUCUCUUUCUCUUUUUUCCGUUCAUUAGUGUGCGCCACAAGCAUUAUUUUUAUACACACGAUAGUAGAAAUCCCCGUUGGUAGUGGCCAACCGUGACUAGCAGUGUUUUGUUUCGUUGAUUAAACGAUCGAUGCUACGAUGUCUUGGCCCUCGUGUUACACGAUCUGAAAAAGGGAUCUCACGAUUACUCCGGCAAGACUGUCUGUAAGAAAUAAAGAAACUAUCCACAAAGGAGAAGAUAUUCGCAGACAAACAAGAAGUGAUUUACAAAGAUGGCAUCGUCUAUGGUGGCUGUUCCUUCUGGAACAGCUUCGGUUCCAGCUGGAACUGGUAUCACUCAAAACGAAGAUGUGGAGAAUGGGAAUGUGUUUACUGAACGAAACAUAAACACUGUUACCAGCUGCAGCGAGACCUCCAAUCCUGGUGAUGCCUUGGAAGAAAUAAACUGUGGCUCAGGUGAAUCAGGUGAUCAGGAAUGUGCUAUUUGCAUGAGCAAACUUUGUUCUCCACGAGUGCUCUCUUGUCUUCAUGUGUUUUGCGAGGCUUGCCUGGAUAAGCUUCUGAUGGACGAGGCAGGUGACUCUAAAGUUAGCUCUGUCCUAAUCUGCCCGCUCUGUCAACAAGAAACUUCCAUUAGUUCUAAGGGUGCUGCGUCACUGACAUGCGAUUAUGUUCUAACGAAUAUACUUGACAUGUCCGCGAUUGAGAACAUGGCUGUACUCUGUACCUCGUGUAAAGCCAAAGAGAGUGCGGUUGCACGUUGCUCGGACUGUGCCAACUUCUUAUGUCCGAAUUGCAACACCGCACACCAGUUCAUGCGUUGUUUUGAAAGUCACAAGGUCAUGGCCUUUGAAGAUUUAAAGCAAUCCAACGAAGCUAUACCAAUACACAAACCUAUUUUUUGUGAAUACCAUCCUGCUGAAAAUAUGAAAUUUUACUGCUACACGUGCCAGGAACCUAUAUGCAAUGAGUGUUUGCUUAUUGAACACAAAGCUCCAGAGCAUCAGUAUGAAAGACUAGUGGAUGCAGAACCACGCCAGAAAGAAGAAUUAAUAAAAUUGAUGAAUGAGAGUAAAGCAAGAAUUGCAGACUGUGACCAAGUAUCUGCACAACUAGAAAAUGCACUUAGUGAACUACAAGCACAACAUGAUCAAGCUAAAGAUCUAAUUGUAGAGACAUUUCAGAGUUACAAGGCUGUUUUAGAGAAAUGUCGAGACAAUGCCCUGGUUGAGCUUGAAAAAUUACAUUCAGAUAGGGAAUUAGAAAUAAUGGACACGUUUCAUAGCGUUGAAAAGACAGUGGAGAAGAUAGAAGAUGCUUGUCGUUUUACCUCCAGACUUCUUGAGCAUGGUGAUGCUGUGGAGAUCCUUGCUCUUCGUCGUAUCGUAGGAACACAGUUAAUGAAUUUAAUAAAAAACACACCAAAGCCAAAUGUUACAUUUUCUAUUCAAUUUCAAACCGAUUAUAACCAGUUUGAAAAAGCACUGAAGGAAGUCUUUGGUAAAUUUCAUACGGAAAGCACACCAGUAACAAAAUCCACUCCAGAACCAAUUACAACUAUGUCAGGAGUUUCUGCGAACCAACAAGUUGUUCAUAGUUCAAUGGGCUGUCCUCGUUCUAUUAGUACAAGGUCUCCCAUUUCCCUUUCUACAUCAAUGCAAUCCUCCUUCGAAGGUGACCCUUCAUUUGUUAUACCUCCAACGUCCAGCCCUCAAAAUAUUCCACCUCCACCACCUUCUGUAUCUCUUCCUCCAGGUCCUAUUCAUGGACUUACUAGUAUUCAAGAAUACAAUCUACAGCAGUUAGCUAGUCUGGCGGAAAAAGUCGAAAUGGUUGGAGACACGAACGUAGUUGGGCCGAGUUCGAAUCCUAGUCCAACGCCGUCUUUCACUUUAGCAGAUUUAUUUGCCGGCGAUCUUAGUUCUACCAGCCAUGCAAUUAAUAAUUUGCAAGCUCUUGCAAAAUUAGGAAACACACUUGGUAAUCAAGAUCUUGGCAAUCCUACUAUUAAUGGUGGUAGUGGUCUAGUACUAGGGAGAGGUCCUUCGCCAGCCAUUGUGGACACACCAAACUUGAGUCUAACUGCUAAUAGUCUUUUAAAUGGAGGAUUUCAAUCAUUAUCUUCAUCCACUUCUACCAUACUUUCACAGGGUGCUGAUGAUUUAAGAGGAGACUCCAUGCAUAACAUGCCUGUAGUAGUGGGAAAUACAGUUGGCAAUGUAACUGGUUCCGGUUCUGGAAAUUAUACUCAUCCGCGUUCGAAUAACACGAAAUUAACUCCUAUGCAAAUUAGGUGUAAAUUUGGACAGUUAGGUCCCAGUAAAGGUCAAUUCAGCUCACCUCACGGUUUUUGUUUAAGUGCUGAUGAAGAUAUUAUUGUUGCCGACACGAAUAAUCACAGAAUUCAGAUAUUUGAUAAGACUGGCAUAUUCAAAUUCCAAUUUGGUGUUCCUGGUAAGGAGGAGGGCCAAUUAUGGUACCCUAGAAAGAUCGCCGUGAUGAAAAACAGUGGAAAAUUUGUUGUUUGUGAUCGAGGGAACGAACGAUCGAGGAUGCAGAUAUUUACAAAAAGUGGUCAUUUUAUCAAGAAAAUAGCAAUUCGUUACAUCGAUAUUGUAGCUGGCCUAGCUGUGACUAGCGAAGGCCACAUUUUGGCUGUUGAUAGCGUAUCACCGACGGUGUUUGUAAUCAGCGAUACAGGAGAGUUGUUAAACUGGUUCGAUUGCAGUGAAUAUAUGAGAGAACCAAGUGAUAUUGCAAUUAGUGGUAAAGAAUAUUUUGUUUGUGAUUUUAAGGGACAUUGUGUUGUGGUGUUUAACGAGGAGGGAAACUUUUUGCGUCGUAUUGGCUGUGACAAUGUAACAAACUUCCCAAAUGGGAUCGAUAUUAGCGAUGCAGGAGAUAUAUUAAUAGGAGACUCGCAUGGUAACCGUUUUCACGUGGCUGUUUUUUCAAGAGAUGGUUCCUUGAUUUCCGAGUUUGAAUGUCCAUACGUCAAGGUCUCUCGAUGUUGUGGCUUGAAAAUAACCUCAGAGGGAUAUAUCGUAACUCUGGCUAAAAAUAAUCACCACGUCCUCGUGUUGAACACUCUUUACAUAUCAUGAAGCGAAGAGGCAGACCAAAUAAGUAUGUCGUAACUUUCUUCAGCGAGUGGAAUUAUCUUGGUGAAUGUCGCUCUACUCUCAACGAAGAACAAAUCGAUUAAUACGAAGAAACAAACGAAAGAAAGAAGAAAAAUAUCCAAUAUGCCCGUGACAUUGAAUUCUUUGAGAUUUGGGCCUAUCCAAGCAAUAGAAUUACAAACGAGUGCAGCAUGCAGCUUUAAUAGUCUGUAUAAAAGAAAAAAAAAAUGGAAAAACAAGUAUAAGUGCGUCCCUGUUUUAUGAAAGUAACAACGUUCGAAAGAAGAAAUAAAAAUAAAAAAAAAAUUAGGUAAACGUACGUCUCCGACCAAAAAACAGUAUAAAUAGUAAUUUAGCGAAGUUGCAUUUGGUAAACUGCCAAGAAAAAUUAACAUGAAGAAGAAAAAGAAAGAAACACAGUUGGGCAAGGAGUAGCAGAGAGAGGAAAUUGGAAGAAAGCCGAAUUGGAUCGCUUCGACCGGAAGUGGAGGAGGAGAUGUGGAAGGAAGUUGCAGAACAGUAGCUUUCCGUCACAAUCGGUCACAUCAUCUUCGACUUCGUCAGUAUUUUAGGUAUGUUUAUAAAUCAAAUUAUUCUAGUCUCUAAUGAGCACUGUUUUACACACUGAUUUUUCAAUCCGUACUCGAAGCAACGUGUAUUUUUAAUCUGGUGGUAUUACGAAAAUGUGUGAUAAAAGUGGCGACAAAGAACGAGUGGAAGGAAACGAGAAAUUAAUAAGACUUUUUCUUCCCUACGUUACUUCGAGAUCUAUUUGUAGAUACACUAAGUUUCUAAGAUUUCGUUAAGAAUCGUUAAGUAAUCUAAUAAGCAUGUUGAGAUACGAAAAGGUUACGGUUAUUAGAAGAAGUAAAUAAUAAUACAAAUUCCUGUGCUUAACGUUGCGGUGAAGACAAAUGUUGCAUGCUGCGACACAUGGUAGUACUUCCUGCUCUUAUCAUAUCAUAUCUCUAUUUAAAACAAACAAAUAAAAAAUGAAAAAAAAAUAAAACGAACAGAAAACACAUCCAGUACUCCUCGUUACGGCAGACACGAAGCUUAAACAAGAAAAAAGAACAAAAACUGAAAAAAAAAGGAAUAAUACGAGCUAUGUUCCUGGUGAUUCUUCUCCGUGCAUUUGAAAAUUAGUAGUUCAGAAAGAGUAAGAAAGAAAAGAGGAAUUUUAUGGGGCAAUGUUAAAGUAGAGAGAGAGAGACAGAGAAAAAGCAUAGAAAGAUACGUUGAAAAUCAAACAUUUAAUUGUCUUGCGAGACGAGGAAUCGUACACAAAUUACAUUCGAGAAAAUAAAAAAUCGAAAAUAAUUAUUCUAGACUUGCCACUGAUAAUAGAUCCCGUUUGUGCAUUGUUAAAAGAAACAGAAAAAAAAUAUAUAAUAGGCGAGGCACGUAAUGGUUACAAUAUUUACUCAGGAUGCUUUAUUAUGGUCCACCAUAUAAAUACAAUAUAUAUACAUAUAUAUGCGUGUGUGAAUUAUUGGUUCGUGGUGCUAGAGAAUAAUAAUAUAUCCAUACCAUGUAAAUGUAUUUGUUACAAAAAUUACAGAAUCGUUCCGAGAUUUAACAAUGCUGUGGAAUGAUCAUGUAAUAUAUUAUACAAGGUUCAUAAGUAAAAAUUAUACCACCGGUAUCAUAGGAACAAUAUCUUUAUCUAUGUAUAAAAAGAUUAAAAAAGGAAAAAAAAUUGAAAAAACAACGUACAGUUUGCUAAACAACUUCUAUUUAUGUAUAUAUAAUUAAACAUGAUCCGUAAGAAAAAAAAGAUGAAAAUCCAUGUAAAACACAUACAUAUAUAUAGAAAUACACAUAUUUUUUAGGGUUGUUUACAUGAUCAGCCUUAAGAUUUAAUUGAAACUAUAAAACAAAAAUAUAAAUGCAAUGUGUAUACAAUAUAUAUAUAUAUAUAUGUAUACACAUAUAUAUACAUAUAUAUAUAUAUGUAUAUAUACGGAUAUAUCUGGCAGAUCGCUAUAUAUUGUAUUAUAAUUACCUACAAUAACGAUUGAAUGUGAAUAACUAUCUUGCCAUACCAAAUGUUAGAAAGCACAUCCAUAUAUAUAUAUAUAUUUCUACUUGGAUAGCUUUGACAAAUUUGUUUUUCGCAUACAAAUUGGCUAUGCUAAAUAGAAUUGGUUUUAAAGAGAUGAAUGGCUAGUUAGUGAGGAAAAUGGGAGGAUAUGUUUAAAACCUCAAGGAGAACGGUGCGAAAUUGCAGAAACGCUAUAAUAGAGCUACUCAAAACAAAACAACAGAAAAAAAAAUAAUAAAUCUGCGCGUAACAUUUGUAGUAAAUUGCACGAAGCCUACGUACGUACACCUAAGCUAAUAAGUCGUAAUCAUCUUUUAUUAUUAGAAGUUUUAAUUUUAUAUAUAUUAAAGAAAAAAAAAGAAGUAAUUCUGAAGUAUUUAAUAGUCAUGGUUAGUAGAGUUAUAUAAAUAAUGCCUGUGAUAAUAGUAUCGUCAGGAUAAGUUGUGUCCUUACAGAGUCUUUGAUGUCGUUGCAAGGUAAAUAUUAUUAGAGGUACCGAAACGAAAUGUUGUUAGCGAGACGCCUUGUGGAAGGUGUAUUUCUGUUUAAUGCACAAUAACACCCGAUACAAAGCCAUCGAAUGGUCUCUAAUGGUAUGUAUGAAUUAUAUACACAAUACACAAUAUGAAUAUAAGAAAAGAGAAGCAAAAAGAUAAUAUUGAGAAAAAGUAAAGAGAAAUAUGUUGCAAACAUUUUUGCCAGUCGUAUUUGAAGACAAAGAAGAAGAAAAUAAAAAAUGGACUCAUAGUGUAAUGAAUGGAUGACCAUUAAUGAGAGGGUCUUUUACCUCACAAAAUUAUUAUAUUACGCUCACUUGAAUAUUUUAGUAUAUAGAUUUACUCUAUUUACAUAUUUUUAUCUGUGGAAGACUACUUGGCUAAUUUAGGCCACUGUUGAAAUUCACCCCUUAUUUGCCUUGAUGUUUAAAUUACAAUAAUAAUAUAAAAGGAAAAAAAAAAUGAAACGGGGAUUACAUGUUACGUAAAUGGUAAUUGUGAUAGAUUUUUUGAUGAUUUUUACAAUCUCAAAAGUCUUAUUAUCCUAAUAUGUAUAGAAUUAUAAUAGUCACUCUCGACAUAAAAACUACAUAAAGAAAACUCUGCUUACAUUGUUAAAGAAAAAUAACUAAUAAUUAUUAAAUGACAAAAAAGUAAUGAAUAUAUCACCUUAUUGUAAGCAGUUUAUAAGAGACAAAAGAUAUAUAUACUAUCAGUCUAUUAAAGUAAACGUAUUCAGAUAUGUUCUACGUAUUAUACUUUUAUCUGAUCUAAUGUUUUUAUUGCUAUAAAAAAAAAAUAUAUAUAUAUAUAUAAAUAAAAACAGUUUCCAAGGCCUUUUUAGAUGCCACCUAAAUAUACUUCUUCGACACGAUUUCGGUUUUUGUAAUGGUUCUUUGUGUUCGUUUACGAUGACGUGCUAUCUAUGUGCAGCUUAAAAGAAACACAAAAAAAUAGAGAGGGGAAAGAGAGAAACAAGAAAUUAAAAUUCAUAAAAAAGGUGUCCAUUGUUUUUACGAUUCGUAUCUAUGAUAUCUUUAUAACAAUGAAGAACAAAUUUAAUUAAUUUAACGAAGGAUUUAAAAAUUUUUUAUACAGUAGAAAAGGCUCAUAACUAUUGAUUCGAUCAUUCCUAUGUAUCUAUUGACGAAGGAAACAUUUGUUUCUGUAAAUAUUUGGUUUUAUGUUUUCGACAUUGAUUAAUAAUCGGUGUAUUAAUUAACAAUGUGUACAAGAAUGAGUUGCUGCAAUUGUAAGAAUGUGUACGAAAGAGAAAAAUAUACACAUCUGACAAAAGCCGUUAUUUGUCAGCCGUAAAAGAUGAUGUAAAACAGGAAAAUUGUGUCGCAUAGUCAAAACCAAAAAAAGCGGAGGGUAUGCUACGAACAAGGAAAAAAGAUACGAAAAAUUAAAUAUAUAAAAUAUGUUCCUGAUUUUGAAGAUCGCAUCACAUUUAAGUGAUACAAUAAAAAUAAGAUUACACUUGCGAGUUUUUUGCGGAUAUCGCGUCGGGGGGCACUUAUAUAUAUAAUAUAUAUAUAUAUAUACACAGGUAAUAUAUGAUAUAUACAUAUACACAUUAACGAUAGGAUUUAAAAUGAAAAAAAAAAAAAAAAGGUUGCGUCAUUAACUGAAUUCUAGCCUACGGUUAAUCAUAGUCUUCCUAGAGUUGUGGAAAAAACAGAAAGAAAAAGAAAGGUUUUAUCUUUACACGAUUACCGAGUUUUUUU